rnacentral:rRNA from 1 species
GGUGAACGCUGGCGGCAGGCCUAACACAUGCAAGUCGAGCGGCAGCGCGUCCGACCACCCUCGGGUGGUCGGAUGGCGGCGAGCGGCGGACGGGUGAGGAAUGCAUCGGAAUCUGCCUCGUUGUGGGGGAUAACGUAGGGAAACUUACGCUAAUACCGCAUACGACCUACGGGUGAAAGUGGGGGACCUUCGGGCCUCACGCGAUGAGAUGAGCCGAUGCCGGAUUAGCUAGUUGCGGGGUAAAGGCCCACCAAGGCGACGAUCCGUAGCUGGUCUGAGAGGAUGAUCAGCCACACUGGAACUGAGACACGGUCCAGACUCCUACGGGAGGCAGCAGUGGGGAAUAUUGGACAAUGGGGGNAACCCUGAUCCAGCCAUGCCGCGUGUGUGAAGAAGGCCUUC